rnacentral:tRNA from 2 species
GAAAGUAUAACUAAAUAGGCAAAGUAAUCAGUCUAAAUGCUGAUAAAUCUUAGUUCGAAUCUAAGUACUUUCA